rnacentral:lncRNA from 1 species
AGUCAUGCCCAGAAAUACUUCAUCAGACUAAAUUCCAUGAACAGAGACCGUAGAAGAUCAAGCAUACAUGACAUAACCAGCGUGAAUAACGUAGAUGUAUUAUCUUCUUCUCAAACCUCCUCCAUUGGAUCUUCUACGAAACAUCCACCUCCUCAACCUCAAGUAAAUAUGCAUGGAGUAGGAAUCUAUGGAGUAAACCACCACAUGGUAUCUGCAGUUGGGACUCCAGUCAUGCUUCCCUCUGGACAUCCCCAUUCUCACCCCCACCCCCACCCCCACCAACACCCUCCUUAUGUCGUCCCUAUGGCUUAUCCCAUUCAACCACCUCCGGCAAUGCAUCAAUAGUCAUACAUAUUUCCACGACAUGUUUAUUUCAUAGAGAUUGUAAAGUUGUCGAAGAUACAGCAACAGAAACCAGC